UAUUAAAUAUUUCAUUCAUUUCUAUUGUUAAAAACUAAUAUAGCUAAUAGAAUAACCAUACAGUUACAAAUGUCGUGCCACAUGUAUCUCAUUCUGACGUGCAAUGACCAAUUUUUAACAGUAGAAAUAGAUGAAAUUUUUAACG
rfam:Gossypium arboreum cultivar AKA8401 contig_8209_1, whole genome shotgun sequence.